rnacentral:piRNA from 1 species
UUUCAGUAUGUUCAAAGGAAA